rnacentral:misc_RNA from 1 species
AAGUCGUAACAAGGUUUCCGUAGGUGAACCUGCGGAAGGAUCAUUAGAGAGAAUCCAAAAGCGCCACAUUCUUGGUGUCUUUUUUCUUCUUCUUUUUCACCCUCAGAACGUAUUGUGCACCUGGACCCUUUCGAAAGCGUUGUUUUUCAAACAACUCUUUCUCUUUUUUACACGCUCACUACAUGUCUUGAAUGUUCAAACAAAAGCAUAUAAAGAGUACAACUUUCAGCAACGGAUCUCUUGGCUCUC